CCUCGUGUUCCUGCUGGUGACGCUGCACAAGAUGAUCCGCAGCUCGGCCGCCCUCAAGCCCGACUCCAGCCGCCUCGACAGCAUCAAGUCGUGGGCGCUGGGCGCCAUCGCGCUGCUGCUGCUGCUGGGCCUCACGUGGGCCUUCGGCCUCCUCUUCGUCACGCGCGAGUCGCUGCUCACCGCGUCGCU